UACAGAGGGUGCGAGCGUUAAUCGGAAUUACUGGGCGUAAAGCGCGCGUAGGGCGGCUUUGCAAGUCGGGUGUGAAAUCCCCAGGCUUAACCUGGGAACUGCAUUCGAGACUGCAUUGCUAGAGUAUGGGAGAGGGAAGUGGAAUUUCCGGUGUAGCGGUGAAAUGCGUAGAUAUCAGGAGGAACACCGGUGGCGAAGGCGGGUCUCUGGGCAGUAACUGACGCUGAGGAGCGAAAGCGUGGGGAGCGAACAGG
rnacentral:rRNA from 1 species